AGGUUGGGAGAGGUGGCAAUGCUCUGUGCUUGUGUGGUAUUGCACUUGUCCCGGCCUGU
ensembl:miRNA microRNA 92a-1